UCGAAUAAACUUGAACAGGCUGUUGCUGGUCCCAGGACAUGUGCACGCUUGUCAUCUUUAUCAUUUCUCCCAACUGUGCACAUAUUGUAGACCCUGGAGGUUUUUGGAUUUGUUCCGAGUGGGGGACUGCUGUGCUUCAAAGAAAAAGAAGUCGGCUUUCCCUUGAACUUUUUCCAGGUCUAUGUCAUUUUUCACAACCUCUUGAAUGUGUUUAGAAUGUUGAAAUAAAGAAAAGUUAAUAAAUA
rnacentral:misc_RNA from 1 species